GAUGAACGCUGGCGGCGUGCUUAACACAUGCAAGUCGAACGAGAAGUGGAGACGGAAACCUUCGGGCGGAAGACUUUAUUUCGAGUGGCGGACGGGUGAGUAACGCGUGGGUAACCUGCCUCAUACAGGGGGAUAACAGUUGGAAACGACUGUUAAUACCGCAUAAGACCACAGCACCGCAUGGUGCGGGGGUAAAAACUCCGGUGGUAUGAGAUGGACCCGCGUUCGAUUAGCCAGUUGGCGUGGUAACGGCCCACCAAAGCGACGAUCGAUAGCCGAUCUGAGAGGAUGACCGGCCACAUUGGGACUGAGACACGGCCCAAACUCCUACGGGAGGCAGCAGUGGGGAAUAUUGCACAAUGGGGGAAACCCUGAUGCAGCGACGCCGCGUGAGUGAAGAAGUAUUUCGGUAUGUAAAGCUCUAUCAGCAGGGAAGAAAAUGACGGUACCUGAGUAAGAAGCCCCGGCUAACUACGUG
rnacentral:rRNA from 1 species